UACGUAGGGUGCGAGCGUUAAUCGGAAUUACUGGGCGUAAAGCGUGCGCAGGCGGUUCGCUGUGUCCGAUGUGAAAGCCCCGGGCUCAACCUGGGAAUGGCAUGGGAAACUGGCGGGCUUGAGUGUGGCAGAGGGGGGUGGAAUUCCGCGUGUAGCAGUGAAAUGCGUAGAGAUGCGGAGGAACACCGAUGGCGAAGGCAGCCCCCUGGGCCAACACUGACGCUCAGGCACGAAAGCGUGGGGAGCAAACAGG
rnacentral:rRNA from 1 species